CUAAUGGAAAUGGCAGUAACAAGAUGCACGCCAACAGAAGCACAUCAUCCGAGAGUAAAUCAAAUACAGCAAGAUGCAAGUUUUAAUUACAAGGAAAUUCAGAUUGGCAUGCUCUGACAGACUGGGAGCUUAUGCUCCUUCAGUUGGAACCCAAAAAAAAUGCUCACAAAUGAGCUCAGCUGUGAUAUGAUAUACUCUGGACAGCAAAGCAAAAUAGCAUAAAAUUCACCUGUGGGGAUUUCUGGGCAGCCUCUUUUAGGUCCUCAACCGCACCUUCCCAAUCAUCUGUUAGAAGUUUAGCUUCACCUCUCU
rnacentral:rRNA from 1 species